GAAAAUAUCUCAUAAAAGAAGUAUACACACAACUCUUAUACAACCACUCUUCUUCUCAAAGUUUCUCGGUUUUCUCACCCUUCGCUCAACUUCUCAUAGAAAUUCUUCAAAUUUUCAAUCUCAAAUUUGUUAAAUCGCUACUCAUAUCACCAACCCUAAUCAAGUAUGGGCUCAAUUUCCUUUUAGAUUGUAUUUUUUUGUCAGAUUUUACCUCUUUUUCUUUCACCCAUUCAUAAAUAUGUAGAAGUUAGAAGCGGUUUGAAGGUUUAAGGCAAAAGAUUCUCGAAAAUCUAUAGAUAUCAGAAGUUGUUUGAAGGUUUUAAGAAGAAAGGUUGGAAGUUUGAUAAUCACUGCGAGCUUUUGAUGUUUUCGAUGUUUUGAAGUUGUUCAAAGGCUUGUAAGGUACCACACAUGUUUUAUCCUAUGCUUGUUUUCCGUAUUUUAUCGAUUCUCGAUUUCCACUGUGUGCUCAUAUUAAUGUAGAGAAAAAUACUUUUUUAUGUUAGAUUUACUUGAAUUUUUUGUAUUGAAAAUGUAUUCUAUUGAAUUUGAAGUAUUUAGUUAUAAGAAAUUUAUUGAAAAAAUUAAUUUUUUGAACAUGUACAUUUGUUCUUCUAAUAUGGACAUGAUUGUCAAUUGUUGUAUCACCAUGUACUAUAGAAGUUCUGCUCAUAUUUUUCAAGAAGAAGAAGAAUAUCCUACUCUUUUUCUCUAUCCAUCUUGUUGAUUGACACCAAAUAGUACUUGUAGUAUGCGAAAAAUUUCUCGGAGAUAGGAAAUGUACCAAUUAACAUUAACAUGACACUAGUAUCCAAAGGCUAGAACAUCACUAUGUAUGUACUUGAGAAGUCACAUUAACAACUUAUCUAAUGCUAAAGUGUGAGAAGAAACAAUGGAAGAAUACAAUUGGGAAAUGUAGAGAACUCUACAAAUUUGUUCCCCAAAUGUUAUUUCACAUUGUUGCAUUAAUAAUUGAUUUUCCAGCCUCUUUCUUCAUUUUCAUUGAUUUUUCACUCUCUUGAAACUACACGAACACUUGUUGCAUAUAGUAGAUCAUGAAAGGUGUUGGAUAAGAGCAGGAAGAAUAGGGAGAACAAGUAUUUUUUUUCUUUUUUUUGACUAAGAUCUUCUGAUAAGAUAGAAGCUGAGGAAAACGAGUACCAUAUCGAAGAAAAACUAAUGCAAUAUAGAAGGGCCAGUAUUGGUUACAAGAGACGGUUAGUAAAACGCAAACAAUACUAUAAAAAAUUUCUCAGUACAAGCAACCAUCUGAAAAGAAGAGGUUUGUUUUCUCCAGUAUGCUGAUUGCAGCUCCAAACAAAGGACUUUGGCAGAUUAGAGGGAGACUAGGUUGUUUACAUACGGAAAGCAUCGAUAAUGAAUGCAAGCUUCACUGCUCAGCAAUUUUGUUGCACAGGAAUUGAAAUCGUAUGGAACGUUCUUUAUGCACAAUCCGCCUCCAUUAUAUCACUCUCAACAUGUAAAAUUGAUUAGCUCCUUCCUACAUCCCCGACAAUUUUACUCUCUGUUUCUCUGACCACAUUCUGAUUUGGCUUUUCAUUUGCAUUGUAUUUGAGUGGGCAUUAACCAAAAUGUUUAACCUUAUUAUAUUACCAGUUACAUCAACCUUACAAAGCUUUCCACUAAAAGCCCCCAAGAAGCCAUGAGUGUCGUUGCCUUGAAGGAGCGGUGACCUCUCCUUUGGUUAGAUCAAAAUCAAGAAUAUUACCAGUUGUCAUCCAGUAAAUAAUGCCAUUCACAUGGACCCCUGAUUUUGGCAAUACUUUCUAGCUCCAAUAUAAUUUUGUACUCUGCUAUAAAGUUGAGCAACGGUGGUUCAAAUAAGAGCACAAUUGUUGGAUUUGAUCCAUGAUUAGCAUUUGAUUUUUGUUCUUAGAUUACAUGAACUGACAUUCAUUCUCUGUACUAACUCUAACUUGUUAGUAUUGUGGUUCUUAGAAUAGAAACUAAUUCAUGACACCUAUAGCUUUAACUUUAUAAUUUGACUCAGUGUUUUAAGUGGAAUCAGUGGUUUACAUUUCUAUCAAUGAAACAACAGUUCAGUAAAAUGUCCCACCAUUUUUAUUUGAUUGAUAUAAUACUUUGCUUUAUGACUUGAUAUUUUCUUUGGCAGGUAGAUAUAAUCAUUUUUAAUUUCUGAUUCUGAUACUUCUCCUAUUUUAUCUAAUGUUGCAGAAAAUGAAAGGAACUGGCAGAGGACGAGGACAAGGUAAAAGUGGAAGAGAUGGUGUAGGAAGUGGAUGUGGUAAUUUUUUAGAACACAAAAGUUUAUGAACUACGUCUCAACCACAAAUAUAACCAAUAAGAGUUGUUGAAAUAUCAUUAGAGACUGGACAAUAACCUAACCCAAUUCAAGGACGUCUAUAGGCAGAACAAAUAUCAAGUGCCCCUCUCCAAAGAACAUCUCCCCAGAUAUGAUCAUCAAGAAAUCUAGAAGAAAGUAUGCAACCCUCCCUAGAGGUUGAAACUGGUAUAGGUUAGUUCACGUCCCUCCCUUGUAGGAAACGAUUGAUUAAUGCUUUGCUGGUUUAUUCAUCUUGACAUUUUGGAAUAUUAGAAAGAUUUUGCACCCUCUAUUUAUUGAAACUUUUUGCAUUUGUUAGAGGAAAUCUGUUGGGUUUUUCUUUGAUAGCUGUUAUCAUCAUUAUAAUUUGAUCAACAAGAAUUGCUUUUGAUAGCAACAACUAUGAUAGCAGUGAAAACUUUGUUUGCUGCCAUCACUGCCUUGUUCACUUGAUCAUCUACCCUAUGUAUGAUAAUUGCAUUCUAUGCUUCCUUUCUACCAACCUGCAUAAAAAAAGCCAGAUCAUGACAAGUUAAUGUUUGAGCAGUUGCAUAUGUUUCAAUAUAAGUAGAUAUACUUAAUUGCAAGGUGCAGUCUGAGGGUAUUAAAUGAGAAAUCAACGACUAUAUGAAUUAUAUGAAUCUUCACUGAACAUGUUGGACUAAAAAUAAAUUUUACCUGAACGGCUCGAAGAACUACAUUAGUAAGUGGGGGAAAUGGAGUAUUGAGAUUGCCAGAGGCCCCAUUUACCGCACCUUAUGUCACCAUUUCUAAAUUUAUAAAUUUCGUAACCUUUUUAUUACCUUUAUGCCAUGACCUUCCAUAGCAGUGCUUGUUGGCAAAGUGAUAGCAAACAUAGAGGCUAGUGUGUCUUCAACAACGAAAAGUAUGCGUCAAUAGGUGCAAGUUGAUAUGAACCGAAAGUUGCAAGAAGAACGUGAACAAAUGACUGCCGAUUUAAAAAGGAAUAUGGAAGAAGAUUUGCAAAAACAAUUGGAAGGGAACAUGAACACAUGAAAGGUGAAGUAGACAAGAUGUUCCAAGAACAAAUGGCCGCUGUCAUGACUAGAAUUCAACAGGUACUUUAUCUUUUUCCUUCCUAACAAUUCUAUUCAGUUCUUUGAAAGUUUAGAGUUGUUGGUGCAUCAGUUGAUAUUGGUGGUGCCAUAAUUACGUAGUGUCAUUUGUGUUAUUGAGCCAGUCCAUUUGAGAAUUGAUGUAGAUUUGGAUUAAUUUCAAUGUCUUCUCUGGAAUUGAGUUGUUAUGUGAUGAUUGCUUUGCCGCAUAAAGAUCAAAACUAAUUUCAUUAGCAUUAGGAUAUAUAUUGUGGGGAGCAACUUGUUUUAUUCUUUUGUCAAGCUGCUGAGUUGCAUAAGCUCGAAAAAUAAAAUGGAAAUUGGGUGUUGCAAGGAUGUAGUGAAAAUUAUAGCAAAACAUAAGGAUACUUUUGGUUAAAAAACUCUUAGAUCCUUCCCAAUUCUCUGUUAUGUUGUGAGGAUCAGAGAAAAUUGCUUCUUCCUAAGCAUGUAAUGCAAUGUAAGCAUUCUUAGCCUAAAAUUCUCAAAAGAAAGUGAUGGAUUGAUGGCAAUAAUAUAUCACCACCAACAAACACAAAAGACUAAUUACAUGUAGAAGCAAACAAAAUCCCCUGAAGCUGGCAAUCUCAUUGUACAACUUUUGUAUCAAAUGCCUAUAGCUACGAGUUCCCUUUGUACAUUUCAAUUGAUUCAAUCUUUUUGGAGAUGAAUUAUGCAAAUAGGACACAAAUAUUUUUUCCAUACGUUUUAUGAGAAGGUCCCUAAAGAGAAUAGAUGCUAUAUUGUCACUGAUUCCAGUGCAUGAGGGAGGCAACAAUGACAUUUAAUUUCUAUACCACAUCCAAAUCGUCCAAAUUUGUUUGUCUUUGCAUCUAUGGGUAAUUUAUUAUAAUAUAGAGCCCUUCAAGUGAUGACUACUUGCUUGUUAGGGACCAUUUUAGCCAAACUUUUAGGUUUUUUCAGUUGCAUCCUUCUUAACUCUUAUUUGGUCCCAUAUUGAUGCUAUUGAGGAAGUACCAUUGUUAACGUUUUACUAAGUUUUCUUCAAUAGCCCCCGGAAAAGUGUACUCUAAUGUGCUCUAUAUCACCCCUUUUAUUAUGAGAAUUAGAGAUUGAUUGUGUGUUUUUCUAAUUACAGGGACAAGUUUAUUAAACAAGGGGCCAAUCAAGAAGAAGGUUGAAGGCGUACACUGGAAGUUUUUGCUUUUUGACCAUAAAUAUAUAUACAAUGGAAGUAUUUUUGGUUUUGGUUAUAUAUAUAUAUAUAUAACAACUGAAGUACUACUAUGCAGUUGAAUUUUUGGUAUUUAUAAUAUUUGACUUAAGAAUGCUUUUGUAUUAAUUUUGUGAAAUACUUUUAGAUGUUUUUAAUAGCUAUAUAUUAAUUUUAG
rnacentral:lncRNA from 1 species